UCGAGGAUAUUUAGCAAUGGGGGAAACCCUGACUAUGUGACGCCGCGUGAGGGAUGAAGGAUUUCGGUUCGUAAACCUCUUUCGAUGGGAAAGAAACUUCCGGUUAACUGCCGGAACUGACGGUACCCAGAGAAGAAGCCACGGCCAACUCCGUGCCAGCAGCCGCGGUAAUACGGGGGUGGCGAGCGUUACUCGGAUUUAUUGGGUGUAAAGGGCAGGUAGGUGUUUCGUCAAGUUAGGAGUGAAAUCCUACGGCUUAACCGUAGAACUGCUUCUAAAACUGGCGGAAUUGAGGACAGGAGAGGAAAGCGGAAUUCCCGGUGUAAGGGUGAAAUCUGUAGAGAUCGGGAAGAACACCUGUGGCGAAAGCGGCUUUCUGGCCCGUCCCUGACGCUGAACU
rnacentral:rRNA from 1 species